rnacentral:rRNA from 1 species
UACGUAGGUGGCAAGCGUUGUCCGGAUUUACUGGGCGUAAAGCGCAUGUAGGCGGAUCCAUAAGUCGGGCGUGAAAUCCCCAGGCUCAACCUGGGAACUGCGCUCGAAACUGUAGGUCUUGAGUGUCGGAGAGGAUGGCGGAAUUCCUGGUGUAGAGGUGAAAUUCGUAGAUAUCAGGAGGAACACCGGUGGCGAAGGCGGCCAUCUGGACGACAACUGACGCUGAGAUGCGAAAGCGUGGGGAGCAAACAGG